ensembl:lncRNA
GUCGGUGCUUUCACCGUUACACUUAAGUAGUGAUAGGCAGGAAACGCAACCUCGGUGGCUUUGCGAUCGUCUUUUUAUGCCACCUUUAGUUCUUUACUCUCCUGACAUUCGUAUGGACGAUCCUGUCCUCCUCGCUGUUGUUUUGGCUUAUGUUGUAAACACCUGUUUAAGCUGCAGAAGUGAAGAAGCUUUGUGUUGCUUUUUGACAGUUUGAUUGAGGAAAAGGCGAUCUGGUUUUAGCUUCAACGUGCGGAACAAGAUAAAUGGCUCGGUGCCACUGUUUUCAGAGCUAGGUGUACACGAGACACACGUUUGAGCCACAGAUACAAUGUCAGACUUGGUUUAAAAUGAGAAAACGGGGAGGAACACAUAGUUAGGCCUAUAUUUUUAUUACAGUUAUCAGAAAAUUUGUAUACAAUCCACAAACCGGUUCUACUUCAUCUAACUUCACCGUCCUACCUCAUUGUUACUCUGGUGUUUGUUUGUCAGUGACUGUAAACUAUGUGUGUAUAUUAAAAAAAAAAUCUAUAGGAAAAGGUAUACCUGGUUACUCUCAACAUGUACAGCAUAUUAAAAACUUGUAAAACACCUCAGUACACAAAUAUCAUUCUUAGGAGGAAAUCAGUUUUAUUACCUGCUUAAAGAUGCUGCUGUAAAGGGGUGUCUGUGUGAGGGGUCGUCUCCGAAUAUAUAUCUCCGCUCUUUGCUAUGUUGUGCAGUUGAUCAGUGGUUGUGUUCUGUCUCUGUAUUGCAUUCUGAGAUUUUUACUGGUUGACGGUGCUACCAGCAAACAGUUCGAAAACUGAUCUAUCGGACCUCAAAUGGUGCUGUUUUUCUAUGUUUUUAUCGUCAUACGGCUAUGUUUUAUUCAGGUGUGUCAACCGCCACUAUCCCCUCAGCUAACUCGAAUUCUAAAGCCAAAAUAUUUCACAAAAAUCGAUAACCCUGCUUUUACUGUAUCAACUAUAUGCUAUCCAUCCAAAUAUUGUAGAUAGUGAUUAUAUCCUCAGCUGUGAGUUUCAGAAGUACCUCAGAAGUUGCCGAUUUCAAAUGGAUGCAUCUGCUUUUAGCACCUGUUGUCUAUCAAUUUACAUUGUUGCAGUGUAUUUUCGGAAAUAUGCAUUUUUACUGGUUAGAUCAGGUUACACUAUAGAUGGUAGAUGAUUAUUAGCUCACACUCAGAUGUCGACGAUGUGAAAGUUAGAGGAAGCCGCUGUUCACUGGUCGCAUGCCACGCGGGAAAUCUCAGUCGGACUGGGACGAUGGAGUAGAAGAGGUCCUCAGCAAAAAUCAAAACCGCACGUUAAGUUUGAGUCCAUGUUAACCUCAGAUUGUGUUAUAGAAGAGUGAUGGAAUAACAAAAUACCCACGUAGAGGAAUGUGUCAACUUUUAAAAUUUGGACCAUGCCAAAAAUGCGAUCAGGGUAUAUUCAUGAAGACUGUUUUUCGUCGACGUUCCUGUCCUCUUGAAUAAUUAUCUGUGAUUCCCCUGUUGCAUCGCUUUUCCCUCACCGUCACUUAAAUGUAACUUAAAUGUUAAAAUUAUGCAUUUAGUGUAAGAAAGUAUUAACGAUUGACUUACUGUGAGUAAUUAUACAAAGUGCAUUAUAUUUUCUUUUACCCUGUACCAAUGGAAUCUUUUCUGCACCAAAGUGUUUUUUUCUGUUUUGUUUUUGUUUCUUUUAUUGAGAGAAAAGGGUUGUGUCCCUUUUCAGUAUGUUUCUGUGUUCUUACUGAUGGUUAUUGUUUUCAUUUCCAACCGUGCUGGUGAACAUGAAAUGUGCUGGUACCUCUCUACUGUGGAAGAGCGUGUGUUCAGAUACACAGCAGUCGGUUUCACGGAAGCACUUAAGCCAUUCGUUGGACUGUUUUAAUAAUAGUUCAAUUGUAAGCUUUGCUCUGGUCCAGGGUAUUGACCCAGGGAGUUUGUGUGUAAUUGAAUUCCUAUGCAGGUGUUGAGUUACUUACCUGGUACCACAUCACUGUCGGGUACAGGGCCAACUGCGGAGAUGGAAAACUGGGCCUUGAGAUUGAGUCAAAGGGGACAAAGGCGACGUGACAAAUCCAUACAGACCUAUUAAUGACAUUUUCAUACUUGUAUUAAGUGAGCUAUACAGGGCUGCUUGGAUAUCUACCUGUCUGUACUAGGUAUAAACGCAUUGCAGUGAUCAUUAGGGAAAGACAGGGUUAUUACUGUAUGGAGUAUUUCCAGUUGGUAUGAUAAUGUGAAAAGAAUUUCAAGACUUUUGGAGUUGACACUCCCUCAUUAUUAUAGCCUCCCAGAGGCAACCCUACAUUUUCAGAAAAUGUUAUAAGUAUAUGCGAUAGAGAGUGUACAUGUCUUUGCUAAACCGGCCACACCUCUGCUAUGCGAGCAAGUCUUUGACGCUUAGCAUCCUGUUCUGUGUUUUCUCUUGCUGCAUUCAGGAACACCUGUUUAAUGUAUAGAUAAACAGAAAUAAAAUUGAGACUUUUAUUCUAUCAGCACAAA